UUCAUUCAGUAAACAAAGUUACUUUCUCUCUCUAAACAAGUUUAUGAAAAAUCUCUCAAAUCUCUCUAUGCUUUCCUUUGUUCUUGCUCGAUUUCCUAGUGAAUAAAGAAGCGAAUCAAAUAUGCAAAUUACAUAAGUGAAAAAGGAAGAGAAGAGCAACAAAAGAAUGUACGUGGUUCGGCUAAAGUUCAAGCUACAUCCAUCGGAAGGGAAGAUGAUUUUAUUGAAGACUUUCAGAGAUAAGUUUUUCUUUUCUUUUACAGAUCUUAUACAAGACAAAAAUGUAAAAACUGAAUUCGAAAUGAAUGUAACCUGUGUGUGUGUGUGUGUGUGAUUACAAAUCUGUUAUGAAGUCUACUGAAAAGUAAAAUUAGCCAUUGAGCUAUUUUGAGAUUAAAAUCUUUCAAAUCUCCACCUUAACUCAACUCUGAAAUCUUCUCCCUUCCAAUUUUGACCACCGAUCAUCCUUUUUCAGGUAAUAUGAAACCGAUCAGAUCAAAGCACUUGCUGAGCUUAAGCUUCGAUACCAACUUGGUAAGCAUAUUCGAUGCAUUCUCCGAGGCCUACGAUGCUGAGGAGUUCAGUCCAAAAGAAAGGGUAGGUAGAAUGAAAGGCUUACAAUGAGCCACGCCUCUCAGCUACCUCCACUAUCAACGAUUUAUGGGAGUUCAAUGAGGCCGACCAAAAUUCAUUUGGUAAACUCUCUGUGCUUUCCUUUGUUCUUGCUCGAUUUCUCAGUGAAUCAAGAAGUGAAUCAAGCAUGCAAAUUGAAGAAGAAAAGAGCAACAAAAGCAUGUACAUGGUUCGGCUAAAGUUGAAGCCUACAUCCAUGGAAAGGGAAGAUGAUUUUAUUGAAGACUUUAAAAGAUAAGUUUUUCUGUUCUUUUACAGAUCUUGUACAAGACAAAAAUGUAAAAACUAAAUUCAAAAUGAAUGUAACCUAUAUAUGUGUGUGUGUGAUUACAAAUCUGUUAUGAAGUCUGUUGAAAAGUAAAACUAGUCGUUGAGCUAUUUUGAGAUUAAAAUCUUUCAAUUAUUAUUGUGAAAAUAUUUGUUAAGAUUUAAUGAAUUUCUUACUUACUUAGAUUAAUACAAGUGUCAGUUAAGUUUUGCUCAUUUUGACUCAAUAAAGUUGAUUAGAGAUGACCAAAUAUGUCUAUAAAAUACAAAACACUAAAUUACUAUAUAAUAAAAAUCGAUAUUUGAUUAGACUUUGUAAAACCCGAACCCUAAUUACCUUAAGUAAGAAAGUGUAAGUUAUCCGAUGUCUUCCAAUGAGUUGUAAUGAGAUUAUGUUUUGGUUAGGAGUGAUGGAAAAAGAAAGAAAACUAAGGAGCAAGAGAACUCUCGGAUGGUUAUGUAGGAAAGAAUGGUCAAAUUUUAGCUAAGUAUGGGAAACCAAGAGGAGACCAUGCUAUCCUAUGAGAUUUAAUGUUGAAUUGUGCUGCGAUGGAGUGGAAAGAAAAUGGAUUAAUCAAAUCUCAACCAUUAAUCUUCAUUAGUGGGCUAAGUGGCCUAAGGAGAUUUCAUGCAGGAUUUUGGGCGGUGGUAAGCAGGAAGGCCGACUUUAUUUAAUUGGUUGAACAAAUACUUGGGCUAUUCGUUUAAUUUCAGUGGCAUUUGAAAGCUCUGUAUGUCUAUUUUUUGUGGCUUUUCUGUGAAAGGGAAAACUCGCCGGAAUAAUGUCGGAGGAGCAAAAUAAAGACAAAGGGUUCGUUUCUCGGUUGAAUCUAGACUAUCAGUGAAGAAUUAAAGCUCCAGGACGAAUCACAAAGAUUUUUGAGCUAAAAAUUUGAGUGGAAAUUGUUGAACAAGUAGGCAGCUGCUUGAUUGGGGCCAAUGAUGAAAUUUUGAAUCUCCAGAUAAAAGGACGAGGAAUUUCAAGCUAAAAUUUGAAGAUAAUGUUGCUAACUUGAUUCUAAGAAAGUUUGUAGAGGAUGCUCCUUGAGAUGAGUUCUGGAAGUUUAGUUGUGAAUUGUUGAAAUUAAAUCUGCAGUUUGAUGCUCCAAAAUUUUCCUUAGUGUGGGGAAUGUGGGCGAUCAAAAGGUGCAUUCUUUCGACACCCAAUCUCUCCAAAUUGGCUAAGUGUCCGACCCUCAAAGUGAAUGGUUCAAUUCCCAUUGGAGAAGGCUAUCAAGCCUUAAGGAAGCAAACUUGAAGGAUCUGUAUUUUCAGCUCAAUACUGAAGGACAAGGAAAAGGUAGUGGUCAUCUCCCCAGAGGUUAGCUGCCAUCCUACUCUGCCACUCAAGGACUCCAGUUAAAAGUCUAAAGUCUAAUGAGAAAUUUUAGGUGUUUAGUCUGUAAAUGUCUGUACAUAUGUGUUGCUCAUAUUAAGGACUAAUAAAGUAUAUUGGGACCGCUGAACUCUGUAGGAGUUAAUAUGAUGUAGUUAUGUUGUUGUUGUUGAUCCCUAGUGUUCUUAGGUUAUUUUUAAAGUUUCCUUAGUUUGGUGAAUGUUAUAUAUGUAUUCCAAGGAUCUAAGUAGGUUAAGGAUGUUAGUUAGAUAGUAAGUGCCAAAAAAGGGUUGGUAACUACUGUCGUCACAUUCACUUCUGGGUUAAGAAGGGUAAUCUGGGAGGGGUGUGAUAGACUUUUAUUUUACGGAUUAAAUUGUUACAUA